UUCCCAUACUUUGACAACCAGAUGCCUGACCUCGUAGAGACAAGAAAGUUACUGUAAUCUGUCAGGUAAUUUUCUUAUCUCUCGAAGUCAGGCAUCUAGGACUUGGCUACUGCUUCCU
rnacentral:precursor_RNA from 15 species